UACGUAGGCCUCAAGCGUUAUCCGGAUUUACUGGGUGUAAAGGGCGCGUAGGCGGAUCUGUAAGUCAGAGGUGAAAUCCUGCGGCUUAACCGUAGAACUGCCUUUGAUACUGCAGAUCUUGAGUUCGAAAGAGAGUAGCGGAAUUCCAGGUGUAGUGGUGAAAUGCGUAGAUAUCGGGAGGAAGGCCGGUGGCGAAGGCGGCCCUCUGGGCCUGUACUGACACUGAGGCGCGAAAGCGUGGGGAGCAAACAGG
rnacentral:rRNA from 1 species